GGGGACUUGCUGCCUGGUGUUGGAGGAGAGAGGAGCUUGGUCAGCUCAGUCUGGAGUGGCAUGCUCUUCUUGGUUCAGCCAGAAGACACAGGCUUCUCUGAAGAAACUGCAAGAAUUCUCCUAAACUAUGGCGUAAUCAAGCAGGAUUACCUCUGUUUGCUUCCUGUUACCUAGAUGCAGGUUUUAGCACAGUGUCUGGAAUGAA
rnacentral:lncRNA from 1 species